UACGGAAGGCAGCAGGGGGAAUAUUGCACAAUGGGCGCAAGCCUGAUGCAGCCAUGCCGCGUGUAUGAAGAAGGCCUUCGGGUUGUAAAGUACUUUCAGUCGUGAGGAAGGUGUUAAGGUUAAUAACCUUAGCAAUUGACGUUAGCGACAGAAGAAGCACCGGCUAACUCCGUGCCAGCAGCCGCGGUAAUACGGAGGGUGCGAGCGUUAAUCGGAAUUACUGGGCGUAAAGGGCACGCAGGCGGUUAAUUAAGUUGGAUGUGAAAUCCCCGGGCUUAACCUGGGAAUGGCAUUCAAGACUGGUUAGCUAGAGUCUUGUAGAGGGGGUAGAAUUCCAUGUGUAGCGGUGAAAUGCGUAGAGAUGUGGAGGAAUACCGGUGGCGAAGGCGGCCCCUGGACAAAGACUGACGCUCAUGUGCGAAAGCGUGGGGAGCAAACAGGGAUUUAGAUA
rnacentral:rRNA from 1 species